GUUGAUAAGGUUAAGUGAAUAAGGGCGCACGGUGGAUGCCUUGGCACUAGGAGCCGAUGAAGGACGGGACUAACACCGAUAUGCUUUGGGGAGCUGUACGUAAGCUAUGAUCCAGAGAUUUCCGAAUGGGGGAACCCAACAUCUUUAAUAGGAUGUUACGAUUGUGUGAAUACAUAGCACAUUCGAGGUAGACGCAGAGAACUGAAACAUCUAAGUACCUGCAGGAAGAGAAAGAAAAUUCGAUUCCCUGAGUAGCGGCGAGCGAAACGGGAAAAGCCCAAACCAGCAAGCUUGCUUGUUGGGGUUGUAGGACUCCAAUAUGGUAGUUCUUUCAGAUAGUCGAAUGACUUGGAAAAGUCAGUCAAAGAGGGUAAAAACCCCGUAGACGAAAUGUGGAAGACACCUAGGAGGAUCCUGAGUACGGCGGAACACGAGAAAUUCCGUCGGAAUCCGGGAGGACCAUCUCCCAAGGCUAAAUACUCCCUAGUGACCGAUAGUGAACCAGUACCGUGAGGGAAAGGUGAAAAGCACCCCGGAAGGGGAGUGAAAUAGAACCUGAAACCGUGUGCCUACAACAAGUCAAAGCCCGUUAAUGGGUGAUGGCGUGCCUUUUGUAGAAUGAACCGGCGAGUUACGAUUGCAUGCGAGGUUAAGUUGAAGAGACGGAGCCGCAGCGAAAGCGAGUCUGAAUAGGGCGUUUGAGUAUGUAGUCGUAGACCCGAAACCAUGUGAUCUACCCAUGUCCAGGUUGAAGGUGCGGUAAAACGCACUGGAGGACCGAACCCACGUACGUUGAAAAGUGCGGGGAUGAGGUGUGGGUAGCGGAGAAAUUCCAAACGAACUUGGAGAUAGCUGGUUCUCUCCGAAAUAGCUUUAGGGCUAGCCUCGGAAUUGAGAAUGAUGGAGGUAGAGCACUGUUUGGACUAGGGGCCCAUCUCGGGUUACCGAAUUCAGAUAAACUCCGAAUGCCAUUCAUUCAUAUCCGGGAGUCAGACUGUGAGUGAUAAGAUCCAUAGUCGAAAGGGAAACAGCCCAGACCACCAGCUAAGGUCCCAAAAUAUAUGUUAAGUGGAAAAGGAUGUGGGGUUGCACAGACAACUAGGAUGUUGGCUUAGAAGCAGCCACCAUUUAAAGAGUGCGUAAUAGCUCACUAGUCGAGUGACCCUGCGCCGAAAAUGUACCGGGGCUAAACAUAUUACCGAAGCUGUGGAGUACACCUUUAGGUGUAUUGGUAGGAGAGCGUU
rnacentral:rRNA from 1 species